rnacentral:siRNA from 1 species
ACAUUAGAUUCUUGUCCCUUGACA